AAUUUAUUUUCAAUGAUUGACUGUUAUUUACUGGCCUGAAAUUAUGUAUCUGUUAUAUUUCAAAUAAUGCAAAACUGUAUAUAUAUGGUGUUUACAGAUUUGAUUGGUUUUCUUUCAAUAGCCUAUAUCCUUAUUAUUGAUUGUCAUCAUUUAUAGAAAAAACUGAAAAUAAUUUCUUAUACUUUUAUGUAAACCUGUUAGAGCUUAUUUUAAAGAUCAACUGCAUUCACAUUUCUAAUCUAGUCAUUAUGAGCUUCAAUAGUUUUAUCUCACUUAAAAUAUAUAUAUUGUCUUUUAAUUCAUGAGUCAAAAUACAAUCUCACAGUCCAGAUAUGGGACUUAAAAGGGGGAUAGAAUAUAGUUUUGAUAUUCUUAACAAUACACAUCCUUUUGUGAUCAUGAUUCAGCAGACAUUUUAAUAAAAUGAUUCCAAGUAAGCCGAUGUUUGGUCCUAGAGGAAUUUUUAUAACCUUUAAGAGAAGGCAUAGCAUGGUGUUUUUGUAAUAAGAUUUCUUUUAUGAAAAAGUCACACCAAAAUUGCAAAUGGGGUGAGAUGAAGAGUUAUAACAUAUAACUAAAUCUAUGUUUGUUCUCUAUUCCACAGAAUUGACUGCGACUG
rnacentral:lncRNA from 1 species